rnacentral:rRNA from 1 species
UACGUAGGGGGCUAGCGUUGUCCGGAAUUAUUGGGCGUAAAGCGCGUGUAGGCGGCUUUGCAAGUCGGGUGUGAAAGCCCUCGGCUCAACCGAGGAAGUGCGCCCGAAACUGCAGAGCUUGAGUACCGGAGAGGAUGGCGGAAUUCCCCAAGUAGAGGUGAAAUUCGUAGAUAUGGGGAGGAACACCGGUGGCGAAGGCGGCCAUCUGGACGGAUACUGACGCUGAGACGCGAAAGCUAGGGGAGCAAACGGG